ACAAACGCAAGGGAUGAUCAAAAUACGAGGACGUGUUAGAUAUCACGCAGGGUCACUGGCACGACAAACUAUGAGUGCACAUUGAUUAAGAUAAAGGAACAGUGAGAGUUGCUCAGUAAAACAAAGGUCGACCAUCCGCCAUGGCUAACAUCAUUGAGUUCACCUCCAGUUGCUUCUUCUACUUGAACCAAUACUUCCGGGCAUUUUGGCCAAUCAAGAUUUUGUUUGGCCCGACUUUGCGACCUCCAUCUACCGAGACGGAGCUCAGAAUCCUGCGAGCCAUCUAUCUCCUGAGACACCAGGACAAUUUGGAGGCGGUAAUGGCGAUAGCGAGUUCUCUCCCCAAGGACGAGGACAUCCACAGUGUGUUCGACCAGCACACCAAAUACAAUCUCCUGCAGUUGGCGGUGAUCAACAACACCAAGGAGUUGGUGAACAAGUUAGUGCAACACAGCUACGGACAUCUUAAUCUGAAGUGCAACACCCCGGAACACCUGGCCGCUUACCUGGGGCAUUACGGUAUUCUGGAAGUGCUGCUGGAGAAGGGAAGGGGAGGGGGAGGGAGUGGUCAGAUCGCAGGGAUGUGUUACCCAGGGCCCCACUCCCCCAUGGAAGUGCACAAGAUUCUUGGCCUUCUGGAUUACUCCUAUUACAAGUGUCAGCUAAAUGUGGACUUGCCAGUUUUCUACGCAAUCUCCCGGGACAAUGUGAGCUGUGUGAAGCUUCUUCUGACCCACAUGCAGACUGAAGGAGUCAACUUGCCCUCUCCCUCCCGCCUUCUUCACUUCUCUUGCUGUAAAGGAACUAUCGACUGUCUUCGCUACUUCGUCGAGAAGUACCCAAACGAAGUGAACUCUCUGAAUUCCAAGAAGGAGACUCCUCUCCUUCAGGCUGUGGUGUGGGGAAGAGAGUGUGCUAAGUGUCUCAUUGAUAAUGGUGCUGACGUGAAAAGCGUCUCUAAGACAGGUGAAACAGCCCUUCACCGACUCUACUGUAACGACAUUGAUGGCUUGUUCACCAUCUACGACACUACCAAGUACUUACUGACAACUGGUAUCGAACAGUUGGUCAACGAAGUGAACACUUCAAUGGAAACACCCCUUCAUUACCUGGUGACACAUGUGUCGUUCAUUGGAGGAAAUCUUCUCCAUCCUAACCAAGCUCAGAACCACGUCACUCGAUUACAGUUACAGCCUGACUACCAAGACCAGGUUAUACAGUCGCUGGAACUCCUGCUGAAGUUCAACGCCGACCCGCUGAGGGAAAACCGAUUUGGUCUCCAGCCCAUGAACAAACUAAUGCAUGUGACUCUGAAAUCCUGUGGAUCGCUUGGCGACAUGGUGCCCGACUGUGUUCAGUUUUCUAUCGACUCCAAAUAUCUGUACAAAAAUGACUACCGACAUCUGAAUAGUGCUCUUGAAGUUCUCCUGAGACAUGGAUCGGACCCCAACAGUCUUUGCUCUGAGGGUCAUUCUUCAUAUCUCAUGUAUCUUCAUUACUCACCCUGUUAAAACAUGGUUCCAAAGUCAAUUUCCAGAUGAAUAAUGGAUCCACAUGUUCCUCUAUUCUGGCCAAGUUUGCAGCCAGGUACUUUACGAUACCAUUAUCCGAAGACUCUCAAAUUCUACGAGACCAGUUCUCGGAUCUCGUUUGUGAAGUUCUAAAGGCCCACUUUAUACAUGGGCUGAAUCCCAAUGUGUUAACUAGUGCUAAGAGUCAUUAUUUGAAAGGGGGAACCGGAAAUGCCAUGAUCGAAUUUGUUCAUCUGUCAAAGCUUGCCAAAAAUCCGGCGGACUUUGUCACGAUACGUCGCUGGUUAACAGUGAUCCUACAAUGGGGCGGGGAUCCUGAUGUCGAACCUUACCAAUCGGAGCCCAUUAUUUGCCAUUCCCAGAGUUCCAUAUUCCUCCGUCAUCAGGGCACUCAGCCCGUGGGACAUUACAUUCACGAAAUGAAGGACGAAGAGACACUCUAUAAGGACGGUUAUGCGGAGGAACUACUGAUGUUGUUUUAUCGAACCAUGAGUCACAAGGAACUGUACGACUGUCUAAAUUCCACGCGCUCCAUGACAAGAUUUCAUCCAAUGGGAGCAGUCGGAAAGAAACUGUUGCAGAUUUUAAGUUCCAUGACGGAGAGUCCAAGGAGCUUGUCUGACAUUUCCCGCGUUGCAAUUUACAAAUCUAUUGACCGACAACUUGCUUUGAAAGUGCCUCUUUUGCCUAUUCCGAAUUUAAUGAAAAAGUAUCUCCUUGAAGUUCAAUAAGUUGUGUUGUGUAACAGAGUGAUUAUGCUUGCACAAGGUUUAAACAUUAAGCAGGAAAGAUUGCAUGAUAAACAAAUACUGUAAUAUCCCCGUUAACUGUCCAGGUUGCAGUUUGAUAAUCUUGUACAAGAUAGAUGUGUAAAGUUACAUGUACAUGUAUGUUUCGAAUUUUGCAGAUUAGAGGAUGUAAUGAAAUUUUGCUGUUGAUUUUUGUCUAAGAAAGCAAUAUUGCUUCACUAUGAUCAUAGUAUUCUUUUUUAUGAUAAAGUAUAAUGGGUGGUUAUAAUUAAGUUAAUUAUAUGAACAAUUACAAAUAGUAGCCUUUAUGUCAAUGACAUACUAAUUCACAAAAGUCUCUCCAGUGGAAAAAAAAACCAAAUUAUUAAAUACAACAUUCAUAUGAUUAAAUUGAAAGUUGUGAACCCUAAAAAUUCGGAAGUAGUGCAAUUUUUUAAAUGGUUUUUUGAAGAAAAAAUUAAAAUAGAAGACUGUAUAAGCGAGUUUUUUUUUCAAACAAAGGUGAAAGCUCUUGGCUCAUUAUUGGGAUGAUACUGUAUAUAUUUAGCAAGCAUACAGUGCUGCAUCUACUGAAUGACAAUUAUUGUUGUUUUCUGCAUUGAACAUUUAAAAAAAACAGAAAACAUUGUUCUUCAGUGAUUAUUUUUGAAGUUGGUAUACAUAUGUAUUUUUGUUAUAUUUGGUGUUGAAUUAAAAAAUCUAAUUUG
rnacentral:misc_RNA from 1 species